ensembl:lncRNA
AUGGGGACCCCCUUCCCUUGGGCUCCCAUUUGCCAUCCCACCUGUCCCUUUCCCACUUGGACAUGCAAAAACCAUUUCUCAAGAGUCAGUUUCUCCAGGGUGCUUUCAUCACUGUGCUCAUAGUGACAAAUCCCAUUUGCACAGCGGGUCUCACACUUCACACUCUGCUGUUCUAUGGUGUUUGUUUCAAGCACAGACCAAAGCUCAGCCCUGCACUGGAGGAUAUUGCUGUGCACACAGACAGCAGUGGGGAAAUAUCUCAUAGGUAUUUGCUCUGCAAGUGCAGGCUGCUGCAAAGGGAGGAUGCUGUGGUCAGGGAUGGGGGAUAUAACGCCACCACACCUGCACCUUGCUCUGUUUGCAGCUUGAGUUUCAUUGCAGAGCAGCAGGCUCAGAUGUGCUGUGUAAAUAUAGAAAAUGCCUCAAAUGAUGGGAAAAUGCCCCCCCAAAGCCCAGCGUCUCUGGUCCUCCAAAUCUUCCUGCAGAGUGGUGCAAUGGGGGUGGACAGUCAGUCCAGAGCCCCGCGGGGUCUGCUGCCCAAACCAGUGGUGGGUCGCCCCCCUUCCCACAUGAAUACUGAGCACUCAUAGUGUGUUUUUUUUCCCCACAGACUCAACCGUUGCCCACUUUCGAAGGGACAAGGUGAGUCAGGGCCCUUCUCACCCAAAACUAAAGUGAUAUGCUCCACAGAAAUGGCAUUAUCAUUUUGGUACGCUUGCUCAUGCAUCUCUUUACUUGCACAAAAACUGCAAAUCACAAGAUUUAAUUUCUGAGUCACAAGCCACUCUACCUCAGUCUACGGCAAAUGCCUCCCCUUGUUUUCGACCCAGAUCUGCUCUGACUUUUGCUAGCUGACUCCUGCCUGCUUCUCCAAUGCAUGCAGCUCCCUCCAGUGCUCCUGGAGCCUCCUUGUGAAGGGCUUGCAGGCUGCAGCUGCAAUAACAGGGCUUUCCUUUCCCCUCCAGCCUCCCGUGAAGCAGAUGACCCGCAGCAGAGAUGCAUAGG